AAAUGAGUCAGGUUUAGUUGGGCACACAGCUCAGAUUUCCGAAGCUGGAGUGGAAAGCAGCGUGCUCAGGGCUAGCCACCAGCUGGAUUGCUUGGGUGCUUACAAGCGGGACAAUCUUUUCCUGAGGCUUUGAUGGGAGGUCUAGGAAGGACCAAGCCUGGCCUGGCUUCUUGUCACCAGCUUGAGGGCUUGAUGCUGCUACCUGGUGCUGUCCUUAAGGCCUGCAUACUUCCCACCUGCCUGCCUUGGCACCCUCUCCGCUGCCAGGGGGUUUUAUCUGCUGAAGGUGAGAUCAUCUGCGUCUAGUGGUCAGACCAGAGACUUCAGAAUAAGUCUCAGGUUCGGUCCUUUUAAUUUGGAGAGGGGUGUGCAUGUUGUACGUGCAGCGUGGCGACGAAUGGUUUGGCAGCAGGGGGGAAGUGGAGGUGGUGGGGAAAGGUGUGAGCGCUUAGAGAGCACCAGGUUCGAGAUCACUCUGGUUCGUUUAUGCCUUGACCCGCUGUAUCUACCCUUACUUGCAACUGCACAGCCAAUACAUGGGGGAUGAAGUGUGGCAAAAGAGCUGGAGGGUUUGUCGGCUUUCUGUGUACGUUUAGGUGCAGAGCGUGCACCUAUUCUUUUAUUCUUUUUCACACAAAAUAUUUCUAUACUGCCUUUCAUUUGAAAUCGCAAGGCGGUUUACAGUAAAAAGAAUAAGAACAAAUAAAUAUUAAAAUUAUGAUACAAACUAAAACAGCGGCCGACAGACCAGGGAAGGAAUAAAAUUAAGAAAUACAACCAACUGGUACAAAUGACCAGCAAACAUCCGAGAAAUUAACUGAGUUUUUAGCAAGUGCGAAAAGGCCUUUAGAGGGGAGAUGAGUCCAUAGAGAAGACUAAUCUGUGUUAGUGAUUGAACAUAGAGUUGUAGGUCAUUUGAAGCUAAUCUGGAAUAAAAGGCUAUGACUUUUGGUGCUUUCACAAAUGAUGCUAAGAUGACUUUUUGUGCAUUGAACAAUCUGCAUGUCCCACUAAAUCCAGUGGUCUUUAUUCACAGGUAAGUAUGAAUACUGUUUGUAGUUUAAGGUUUUGAACACUUACUUGGGACUAAGCUCCAAUGAAUUUAGCGGGACUUUCUUCUGAGCAAGCAUAUAUGAUUGUACUGUUAGCAUGGGAUGUCCUGUUGUGUUUAAUGGUGCCAACGUGCCAUAUUUAAUAUAUGAGCUCAGUCAAAGCAGGUUUUUAAAUUUGGUUUAUAGUGGGAAAUCCAAAAAUGUUCAAGCAUCACUUGUGAAACUGGCCUUUAUGUAUGCAUUGCUGAAAUUCCCUUCAGGCUGUAUCUAUGCAUGUACAAUUGUUUGUCUGAAAGGGGGUACACUUGAUGACUUGUACAGCCAACUGUUGAGUACACAGACUGCACACCCAAUGAACAUUAUAUUACAUGAGAAUAACUGUGAGCAUACAGCUCAGCUAUUUGUGUACACAGGUACACAUAUAGUAACCUUAAUGAAGGUAAUGCUUGAACACCCCUACUGAGAAGGCAGGAGGAGCAGAAUGGGAGGCCUCCAUUUUUUCUUUUCCCCUCUGUACAACCAUAAUGCAGAAUACUGCCAUCUUUGACUAUGCAGGCCGUAAAAGUAAAGGAGUAAAGGAGCCAUUUCCACUGCCAUGCUUGCUCCUGAUGGUUGCAUGGCUGGUAGCAGUGAUAUCAUCAGGAUAGGUCUCUGGGGCAGAAGUCCAGGACACCAUGAAUCAGAAUGAACAAGAGAAGAGGACCCAAAACACUGUGGGCUUAGCUACCCACAUUUUAUUUUAUUUUAUUUUUUAAGUAAGGGAUAUAACACACAUCACCAUUUAAAAGAGAGCAGUCCCCCUAAAUACAUAAAGUUCAGAGUCUAAAAUUACCUAAAUGCACUAUGUGCUGGUAGAAGUGGGAAGUUUCCAGACAGCUUGCAUGACUCCUCUGGAAAACAGGAGCUGUACUCUAUGGUUCAUUCCCAUGACCUUUUAGUGGGGGGAAAUAUAUCGUACAUAUAGCAUAUUAUGCAUGUCCUGAGGGCACCACAUAAGGCCACUGCCCAUACAAAAGCAGCUAGACAUGUAGCUUUCCGGCCUGUGUAAAAGGAGAGAAUAAAGUUAACAGAUGUUGCAGCGAAAUGGAAGGUGCAUAUAUAAGACAGAGGUCCUCUUAGCAGCUGUUGGAAUUAUGAUUGGACAUAUAGUUUGAAACACAGAGCGUGCACAGAGGAUUACAGCUUUGUACUGACUGAUUUAUAGGACAUUGUCCAUGAUACAUGACCUUAUAAAAGCAUAAGGUGAGGGCACUCCCAGCUGUGUCUCCUGUGAUCGACACAACCAAACCACCCUAAUUUCUGCACUUAAAUGAACCAUGAACUAAUCAAAGUUUUAAAAGAAAAUUUUAAACAAGAAAGGGUAUUUUGUGUUACGUUCGUUCAUGAUCAAGUCAGCUUUUUUUAGCACUAUGGAGUGAGCUAGUAAGAAGCACCCACUGCAGCUGUGAAAGGUAUGCAUAUUUAUUUAUUUCCCUAUCCUCCACCAAAGAGAUCAAGGCACUGUACAUAGUUUUCACACACACACACACACACACACAGAGAGAGAGAGAGAG
rnacentral:lncRNA from 1 species